AGUUCCUCUCUACCUUCUAUUUUGUAUGCAAAAAAAUAAGACAUCAACUCAAAGAUUGUGAGGAAAUUGGGGGUGAAGGUGUGAAGAGUUUUGAGGAGAUUGAGUAGCAGGAUAUGGCUUUCGGACCUUGGUUAAUGACAUUUCAUUUACCAAGGAAUGUGGAAGAAGUGCGGAAGUAACAAAGUUCAUGAUCGUGCAACAUGAAUCUCUUUGAUUCACCAAGCCAUAGCAAGAACACUGAUGGGAGAAAGGAGAAGAUUACCAAUAAAGGCUCAAUAUCUAUUUCAAGGGAAAAUAAUGGGGGACAGAAAGGAGAAAAUAAAGAGAAGGCAGUGAUAGUGGCAGGGGAUAGAGAGGUCGAGAGUGUAGCUGAAUCGUUGGGGGAAGUAAUGAUUUCAAAUACCUAUGAGGAAGGAACAAUAGGGACAAGGAGAAGGGUAAAAAGAAAGAAACCCCAAAAUGGAAGAUACAACGGGCGAGUAAACCAAAGAUUAACUAACAAGCUAGAAGUUUGGAAGAAGAAAUGAGGAAAAGAUAAUUGAUAGAAGUUAUGGUAGAGGAUGAUAUCUCGAUUAUCUGUUACUCCUUAAAUCACGUAGGGAUAACUUUUACUGAUGAUUUUGGUGGUGAUAUUGUCGCGUUUAUAGGUUUCCAUGGUCACCCCGAGGAGCAUAAAAAAGACUUUCUUGGUAGUUGUUGAAGGACCUGAAGCCUCAAAGCGACUUAUAGUGUUGUUUUGGAGAUUUCAAAGACACUGUGAACACUAGGGACAACACUGGUGGAAAUAUUAGGAGUGCAGGCCAAUUGAUGUGGGGAAGGGAAGUUAUGGAGGAAUAUGGGCUUUGUGGGUUUUUAAGGAAUCCCUUUUACAUGGACAAGUCGAAGAGAAAGGGAGAGGAACAACAUUCAAUGUAGAUUGGAUAGGAUGUGGGGGAAUGAAGAGUCUGUGAACAGAUUCUCGCCUAUUGGGUUCAAGCACCUUCUUAAAAGAACGUCUGAUCACGUUGUUAUCUCUAUUGAGUUGGAAGCAAAAACCCAAAGGAACCAGAGGAAACGGGGGAGAAUUUUCAAAUUCUAAAAGGUAUGGAUGAAGGAUGCCAUACGCGGGGAUAUUAUCCGUAAUGUAUGGAGUGAUGGUCAUGGUCAGUCAUUGAGAGGAUUAUUAGGCUCAAGUAUCUGGGGAUUACCUUCAAAAGUACAGGAGCAAAAAUGUUAAGAAGGAGAUCACAAACUUGGAGAACAAAAUCAAGGAUUUGAACCUAUAGGCAAAUUCUAUAGAGGAUCUUAACAGGCUGCAAGUUCUCAAUGGGCAGUUGAAUGAGUAGCUGAAAGUUGUUGAAACUAUCUGGAGACAAUGCAUUAGGGUUGUUUGGUUGCAGGAUGGAGAUAAAAACUCCAAAUUCUUUUAUGGGAAAUCUAGGAAGAGAAGGAAAACAAACACCAUUGUAAAUAUAAAAAAUACUAGUGGUUUUUGGUGGAUGGAGGAGAAAGACAUUGAAAGAGUGAUUAUGAUUUAUUUUUGUGACUUGUUUUCUUCAGAGGGAAUAGAAGGGGAAAGUGCAAUUUGUGAAGUUGUGAAGGAUAGACUGAAUGAUUAACAUAUCUUGUGGUGCGCUAGAGAUUUCAAUAAGCAAGAGAUUAGGGAUGCAAUUCAACAAAUGCAUCUUCUCAAGGCACCAGGACCAAAUGGCAUACCAACUUUGUUUUCCCAAAUUAUUGGCACAUGGUUAGGAAGGAUGUGGAAACACUAACGUUGGAGAUCCUUAAUAAUGAGAAAAGCCCAUAGGAUCUGAAUAAUACUUUUGUUUGCCUUAUUCUGAAAGGGAAAAACCCUGUUUCCCCAAAAGACUUCAGACCUAUCAAUUUAUGCAAUGUUACCAUGAAAAUAGUCACCAAGACUAUUGCUAACAAGAUGAACGUUAUUCUCCAUGACAUAGUGGAUAAGGAAUAAAGUGCUUUUGUUCAAGGUAGACUCAUCACUGAUAAUGGACUCAUAACAGUGGAGUGCUUCCAUUUGGUGAAGAAUAAGGUGAAAGGGAAAUAAGGCACCAUGUAUCUUAAGUUUGAUAUGUACAAGGCUUACGAUAGAAUCGAAUAGGAUUUUGUCAACAUCAUGCUUACCAACAUAGGAUUUCUUACCAGAUUGGUUAAGACUAAUAUGUGAUGUGUCACUACAGUAUCUUACAUAAUUCUCAUCAAUGGGUAACCAAGUAAGUCUUUCACUCCUGAGUGUGGCUUAAGGCAAGGAGACUCCCUGCCCCCCCUUACCUUUUCAUCAUGUGUGAUGAUGUUUUAUCUAGACUAAUUGCUAAAGAGACUCGGAGAAGGAAUAUCCAUGGCAUCAAGGUGGCUAGGCAAGCACCACAUGUUUCUCACCUUUUCUUUGCAAAUGAUUCUCUCAUUUUUGAUCUAGUUACUCAAUGUGAGGCGGAUUGCAUUCUUGGUGUGUCGAAUGCUUACCAAAAAUGAUAUGGGCAGUUGGUUAAUGUGGGAAAGUUUAAAGUGUCUUUUAGCCGCAACGUCCCCGAAGAAACAAAAACCUCUACUUGCAACAAACUAGGUUUCAAACAGGUGACUAACCACUCUAGAUAUCUGGGACUCCCGAUUGACUUUGUAAGGUCUAAGAAGGAGUUGUUUUAUUUUGCCUUGGAUAGAGUUUGGAAAAAGCUCAAUGGAUGGAAGAAGAAGGCGUUGUCAGGAGCAGGAGGAGAAGUCCUAAUUAAAGUUUUUGCUCAGGUGAUUCUUAGUUACAUCAUGAGUUGCUACAGGUUUCCUGAGGGAUGUUAUCAAGAGAUUGAGCGUAUGGUGGCUAGGUUCUCGUGGGGGAAAAAGGAAGCUCCAGUGGCUAAGAUGGGAAAGGUUAUCUAAGGCUAAAGGUAAUAAAGGUAUGGGAUUUAAAGGUUUUUCUUAUUUUAAUAAGGCUUUAAUAGGGGAAAAGUGUUGGAGGUUGAUGAAUGGUGGGAAUACUCUCCUUAGGAGGACAUUAAAGGCCAGGUAUUUCCCUAGGAGCUAUUUUGUUGAUGCUAAGGUUGGUUUUGCGCCCAGCUUUGCCUGAAGAAGUAUUAUGAAUGGAUGUAGGUGUUAAAUUGGUAAUGGCGAAUGUAAAGAUUCAAAAGGAUAGUUGGUUACCAGGAAUUUCAAGUGGAAAAGUUAUUAGUCAAGUCACCUCUUUUGAGGUUGAUGGAAGAGUCGACAUCCUUAUUAAUCCCGAUACAAAGUAAUGGAAGAAGGAUUUGGUCACAUCUAACUUUAGUGAGCAUGAGGCUAAGAUGGUCCUAAGUAUCCCUAUCUCUAGUAAACUUCCUGAUGACAAGAUGAUUUGGCCCGCACAGAGAGAUGACAUAUAUUCGGUUCGUAUAACUUACCAUAACAUUGGAAUGGAAAGGGGACGAUUUAAUGCUGGUACUUCUGAAGACAAUGACAAGAAUAUGUGGAGCGCUAUUUGGAGAAUCCAACUCCAUAAUGCAGCAAAGAACUUCCUUUGAAGGCUUGCUAAAGGAAUCCUCCCCACCAGAAACAACCUCUAUGACACAACUUGCCAACACUGUUUUAAUUCUAUUGUAACUGGUUGUGGUUGCAGGAAGCUUUAAGUUACAAGGAUCAAUGGCGUGCUCAUAUGGUUGGUGUUGUUCUUUAGAAGAUUUGGCAAGGGAGAAAUUUUCUCCUCUUUCAAGGGAAAGCUUUCAACCCGUUAGAGAUUUUCAUAGGUGUUGCUACUCUGGUUGAGGAGUUCAACAAAGUUUCUACGAUGAAGACUGUUAAAAUCCAAGAAGUUUUCUAAUGGUGCAAAAAAUGUUGAUCCUGAGGCAGAUGUUUCCAUCUCUAUUGAUGUUGGAUGUUUCAUAAUGUUGAACCCACUAAAGUAAACGCUUUAGCCUCAUAAUAAAUAAAAAUAAAAAAUUAACAUAAAAAACCUUAGACAAAAUGAUUUAUUUUCUUAUUAACUAUAUUACAAAAUUAACUAUAAUUAUUUUUCAA